UUAAGGCGAAACCGCGAAUGGCUCAUUAAAUCAGUUAUGGUUCCUUGGAUCGUACCUUACUACUUGGAUAACUGUGGCAAUUCUAGAGCUAAUACAUGCAGCAGAGCUCCGACCUUCGGGGACGAGCGCUUUUAUUAGACCAAAACCAAUCGGACCUCGUGUCCGUACGAUGUGGUGACUCUGUAUAACUUUGGGCUGAUCGCACGGGCCUGUCCCGGCGACGUAUCUUUCAAGUGUCUGCCUUAUCAACUGUCGAUGGUAGGUUACGCGCCUACCAUGGUCGUAACGGGUGACGGGGAAUCAGGGUUCGAUUCCGGAGAGGGAGCCUGAGAAACGGCUACCACAUCCAAGGAAGGCAGCAGGCGCGCAAAUUACCCACUCCCAGAACGGGGAGGUAGUGACGAAAAAUAACAAUACGGGACUCUUUUGAGACCCCGUAAUUGGAAUGAGUACACUCUAAAUCCUUUAACGAGGAUCCAUUGGAGGGCAAGUCUGGUGCCAGCAGCUGCGGUAAUUCCAGCUCCAAUAGCGUAUAUUAAAGUUGUUGCGGUUAAAAAGCUCGUAGUUGGAUCUCAGUUCCAGACGGGUGGUCCGCCUACCGGUGGUUACUGCCUGUUCUGAACAGCCAGCCGGUUUCUCUUGAUGAUCUUCACCGGUUGUCUUGGGUGACCGGCAAGUUUACUUUGAAAAAAUUAGAGUGCUCAAAGCAGGCGUGACGCCUGAAUAAUGGUGCAUGGAAUAAUGGAAUAGGACCUCGGUUCUAUUUUGUUGGUUUUCGGAACACGAGGUAAUGAUUAAGAGGGACAGACGGGGGCAUUCGUAUUGCGACGCUAGAGGUGAAAUUCUUGGACCGUCGCAAGACGAACUACUGCGAAAGCAUUUGCCAAGAAUGUUUCCAUUAAUCAAGAACGAAAGUUAGAGGUUCGAAGGCGAUCAGAUACCGCCCUAGUUCUAACCAUAAACGAUGCCAGCCAGCGAUC
rnacentral:rRNA from 1 species